UUCGUUUUUCUACUGCUCCGUACUUCGUGUGCUCCGUGCUCCGUGUGCUCCGUACUCCGUGUGCUCCGUGCUCCGUGUGCUCCGUGCUCCGUGUGCUCCGUGCUCCGUGCUCCGUGUUUUACUAAUAGCCUAGAUCAGGGGCGCCAUAGCCGUUUCACCGCCCGUGUUUUACAGCGCCCUGGUUGGACUGAACCUCAGUGGACUGAACGAAGUAUAGGAGCAGGUCCUCCAGUUAUUAUACAGCUCAGUGGUGAAGAGCAAAUGGAGUUGUCAUGUGAUCUACUCGAAUUCAAAGAUGGUGGACAUUUUGUAGUGAUUUGAGAUCAUAGAGAAGGAAAAUUUUGUUAUUUCUCCUUUCAAACCAUGGCUUAUGAAACAUCAAGUAGUGUGACAUACCAUUUGAUCGUUUCUUAUAUUACUACAUUUAUAAUAACAUCUGUAGGUAUGUAUGAAGUAGAAAAUAUUAAUCUAUCAAAAUUGGAUUCUCGUGAUUGAGAAAUGAAAACCAGGCAGAAAGCUAUAAACUCCGGAUGUACAUUUAAAUCUAUCGUUAUCUCUUCAGGAUUAUAUUAUAUUUUAACGGGACAAGGAGGACGGUUUGACAUUGGAUGG
rnacentral:lncRNA from 1 species